rnacentral:lncRNA from 1 species
AUGCCCUGGGCUUGUCGGGCCUCCUCCAGUGCCUGCCGCACUGCCUCGGCCAUGUCCCUCACCCGCUCUGCCCUCGACCUGCAGCCAGGGCGGCACGGCCUCAGUGCCAGCCUGCGCUGUGGGUCCCCGGGGGGGGCUGCGUCCCCACGUCCCUGGGCUCACCUGGCCCGCUGGGCAUUCUGCAGCAGCUGCCCGGCCCGGUGCACGUCGCCGGCCGUCUGCUCCAGGAUGGCAUCCACGCUGGCCAGGCUGAGCACCCGUGCCUUGAUCUCCUCAGCCAGGCGGUGGAUCUGGGCCGGCGCGGCAGGGAGCGAUAGCUCCAGCACCCGGCUGGCUACCACCUCGAUGCUCUCGGGGUCAGCCCCCUCCUCUGUGGGUGGGAGCCGUCAGCGUGUCCCCUGCAGCACCCCGGAGUGGAGGGGACGGGUGGACCGAUGGGCAGUGGAGGGCAGGGGGGAGCCAUGGGGAGCCAUGGGGAGCCACAGGGAGCCAUGGGGAGGGACCAUGGGGCAGGGGACUGUUGGGGGGGCACAGGAUGGUCAGGGAAGAGCAGCAGGGAGCGUGCAGCGCAGCAUGGGGCAGGGGCUGCGCGGUGCAGUGCCAGGGUGGUACAGCCCACAUGCAGUGCGGGGACCAUGCAGUGCAGCGCGAUGCAGGGUCGGUGCAGUGUGGUGCAGGUGCAGAGCCACACAGUGUCGGGCAGGGGCGGCCAGCCCCCCCGGCACGCCGGCACUCACGGCUCAGGAAGGCCUUGACUUGGCUGAUGAGCUCCCGCAGCUCCCUGUUGGAGCUCUCCACACGGGCCCUGGUCUGGUUCGCUUUGUCCAGGGCUGCCUGAGCCCGCAGCCGGGCCUCAUCUGCCUUCCCCUUGGCCUCGGCCACCUGAGCAGAGGCAGAGACCCUCAGCACCAGCCCCAAGGGGUGGGGGGCACAGCCAUGCCAGCCACUCCCACCAGCCCCCAUGUGCCACACACCUUGUGGGAGAGCUGGGCCACAUCGCCAGCAGCCCGCCGCAGCUCCUCCUGGGCAUGGCGUGCCCGGUCCAGUGCGCUGUCAGCCGUGGACACGGCCCCGCCGCAGCUCAGACCCCCGCAGCGCCGUCCUCCGUCCUCGUCUCGGCACCCGGCUCCCCCGCAGGGGCUGUCGGCACAGGGCACAUCGCCCGCCACACCGCACACCUGCAAGGCAGCGUGGGCUCGGGGCGGCUCCAGGCAUCAUCCCCCCCAGGUCUCCUCCCCGUGUCCCACCUUCUCGUUGAGUGGGUGCAGGCUUAGUGCCUGUGCCCUCCCCGCCAGGUCCAUCAGUGCCCACCGGCUGGCUGCGUUUUGGCGAUUGAAGUCGUCUCGCCGGCUGGCCAGGAGCUGCUCAGUGCGGUGCCGGGUGGCGGUAGAGGCACUGACGGGGCUGGGCACGGCACGGGUGGAGGCAUCUGCCCGGCGCUCAGCCUCCCGUGACUCCCAGUGGGACUGGCGGAUGCUGUCGUAG